UACGGAGGGUGCAAGCGUUGUCCGGAUUUAUUGGGUUUAAAGGGUGCGUAGGUGGCUUUUUAAGUCUGGGGUGAAAGGCGGCCGCUUAACGGUCAGUAGGGCCUUGGAUACUGGAAAGCUAGAGUACGUAUGAGGCUGGUGGAACGGGUGGUGUAGCGGUGAAAUGCAUAGAUACCAUCCAGAACACCGAUUGCGGAGGCAGCCAGCUAAUACGUAACUGACACUGAGGCACGAAAGCGUGGGGAGCAAACAGG
rnacentral:misc_RNA from 1 species